rnacentral:rRNA from 1 species
UACAGAGGUCUCAAGCGUUGUUCGGAUUCAUUGGGCGUAAAGGGUGCGUAGGCGGCGCGGUAAGUCGGGUGUGAAAUCCCGGGGCUUAACCCCGGGACUGCAUUCCAUACUGCGGUGCUUGAGGACUGGAGAGGAGACUGGAAUUUACGGUGUAGCAGUGAAAUGCGUAGAGAUCGUAAGGAAGACCAGUGGCGAAGGCGGGUCUCUGGACAGUUCCUGACACUGAGGCACGAAGGCCAGGGGAGCAAACGGG